rnacentral:rRNA from 1 species
ACGAACGCUGGCGGCGUGGAUAAGACAUGCAAGUCGAACGAGAGAAUUGCUAGCUUGCUAAUAAUUCUCUAGUGGCGCACGGGUGAGUAACACGUGAGUAACCUGCCCCCGAGAGCGGGAUAGCCCUGGGAAACUGGGAUUAAUACCGCAUAGUAUCGAAAGAUUAAAGCAGCAAUGCGCUUGGGGAUGGGCUCGCGGCCUAUUAGUUAGUUGGUGAGGUAACGGCUCACCAAGGCGAUGACGGGUAGCCGGUCUGAGAGGAUGUCCGGCCACACUGGAACUGAGACACGGUCCAGACACCUACGGGUGGCAGCAGUCGAGAAUCAUUCACAAUGGGGGAAACCCUGAUGGUGUGACGCCGCGUGGGGGAAUGAAGGUCUUCGGAUUGUAAACCCCUGUCAUGUGGGAGCAAAUUAAAAAGAUAGUACCACAAGAGGAAGAGACGGCUAACUCUGUGCCAGCAGCCGCGGUAAUACAGAGGUCUCAAGCGUUGUUCGGAAUCACUGGGCGUAAAGCGUGCGUAGGCUGUUUCGUAAGUCGUGUGUGAAAGGCGCGGGCUCAACCCGCGGACGGCACAUGAUACUGCGAGACUAGAGUAAUGGAGGGGGAACCGGAAUUCUCGGUGUAGCAGUGAAAUGCGUAGAUAUCGAGAGGAACACUCGUGGCGAAGGCGGGUUCCUGGACAUUAACUGACGCUGAGGCACGAAGGCCAGGGGAGCGAAAGGGAUUAGAUACCCCUGUAGUCCUGGCAGUAAACGGUGCACGCUUGGUGUGCGGGGAAUCGACCCCCUGCGUGCCGGAGCUAACGCGUUAAGCGUGCCGCCUGGGGAGUACGGUCGCAAGAUUAAAACUCAAAGAAAUUGACGGGGACCCGCACAAGCGGUGGAGUAUGUGGCUUAAUUCGAUGCAACGCGAAGAACCUUACCUGGGCUUGACAUGUAAUGAACAACAUGUGAAAGCAUGCGACUCUUCGGAGGCGUUACACAGGUGCUGCAUGGCCGUCGUCAGCUCGUGUCGUGAGAUGUUUGGUUAAGUCCAGCAACGAGCGCAACCCCUGUUGCCAGUUACCAGCACGUGAAGGUGGGGACUCUGGCGAGACUGCCCAGAUCAACUGGGAGGAAGGUGGGGACGACGUCAGGUCAGUAUGGCCCUUAUGCCCAGGGCUGCACACGUACUACAAUGCCCAGUACAGAGGGGGCCGAAGCCGCGAGGCGGAGGAAAUCCUGAAAACUGGGCCCAGUUCGGACUGUAGGCUGCAACCCGCCUACACGAAGCCGGAAUCGCUAGUAAUGGCGCAUCAGCUACGGCGCCGUGAAUACGUUCCCGGGUCUUGUACACACCGCCCGUCACAUCAUGGAAGCCGGUCGCACCCGAAGUAUCUGAAGCCAACCGCAAGGAGGCAGGGUCCUAAGGUGAGACUGGUAACUGGGAUG